AGAGGUUUCAAAGGUUGCUGUCCAGACUACUCGUGGGAUAACGAAAGUCAAGAUUGUAAAAAAUGCUUACCAGGAUAUGGAGGAAUAAACUGUACAAAAUGUCCAUUUCCUUUCUAUGGAGAUAAGUGUCAAGGACACUGUCAAUGUUCGAUGGAAUUGUGUCACUUUUCUCGAGGUUGUUCAGUUCCAUCAACAGAAAUGGAAGACCAUUCUACAGUCAUUAGUACAGUAAUGGAAAAGGACACCAUCUGGACGACGGGGUCAUCCCCAUACAUGUACACAAAUUUUACAAGCAGAGUUCCAACAAAGAAGCCUUCCAGUAUCAACAGAAUCAUCCUUAUUUCUAUAGUAGUGAUUGGUUUUGUGGACGUACUUAUGAUUUUAACUAACG